rnacentral:rRNA from 1 species
GGACGAAAGUCUGACGGAGCAACGCCGCGUGAGUGAAGAAGGUUUUCGGAUCGUAAAGCUCUGUCUUUGAGGACGAAUGUGCUCUAUGUGAAUAAUGUGGAGUAAUGACGGUACUCGAGGAGGAAGCCACGGCUAACUACGUGCCAGCAGCCGCGGUAAUACGUAGGUGGCAAGCGUUGUCCGGAAUUAUUGGGCGUAAAGCGCGCGCAGGCGGGAUAUUAAGUCUGUUUUAAAAGUUCGGGGCUCAACCCCGUGAUGGAAUGGAAACUAAUAUUCUUGAGUGCAGGAGAGGAAAGUGGAAUUCCCAGUGUAGCGGUGAAAUGCGUAGAUAUUGGGAGGAACACCAGUGGCGAAGGCGACUUUCUGGACUGUGUCUGACGCUGAGGCGCGAAAGCCAGGGGAGUGAACGGGAUUAGAUACCCCGGUAAUCCUGGCCGUAAACGAUGGGUACUAGGUGUAGGAGGUAUCGACCCCUUCUGUGCCGGAGUUAACGCAAUAAGUACCCCGCCUGGGGAGUACGGC